CACCUCACAUUCCAGGAUGUUUACCCCUAGAUGAGUGAUCACACCAUCGUGAUUAUGUAGUUCAUGAAGAUCUUUUUUGUAUACUUCUGUUUAUUCUUGCCACCUCUUCUUAAUAUCUUCUACUUUUGUGAGGCCCAUACCAUUUCUGUCCUUUAUUGAGCCCAUCUUUGCAUGAAAUGUUCCCUCUGUAUCUCUGAUUUUCUUGAAGAGAUCUCUAGUCUUUCCCAUUCUAUUGUUUUCCUCUAUUUCUUUGCAUUGAUCACUGAGGAAGGCUUUCUUAUCUCUCCUUGCUAUCCUUUGGAACUCUGAAUUCAAAUGGGUAUAUCUUUCCUUUUCCCUUUGCUUUUCACUUCCCUUCUUUUCACAGCUAUUUGUAAGGCCUCCUCAGACAGCCAAUUUGGUUUUCUGCACUUCUUUUUUUUUGGCGAUGGUCUUGUCACGAACUUCCGUCCAUAGUUCAUCACGCACUCUGUCUAUCAGAUCUAGUCCCUUAAACCUAUUUUUCACUUCCACUGUAUAAUCAUUUGGCGUUUGACUUAGGUCUAACCUGAAUGGUCUAGUGGUUUUCCCCACUUUCUUUAAGUUUGAAUUUGGCAAUAAGGAAUUAAUGAUCUGAGCCAGUCAGUUCCUGGUCUUGUUUUUGCUGACUGUAUAGAGCUUCUCUAUCUUUGGCUGCAAAGAAUAUAAUCAAUUUGAUUUUGAUGUUGACCAUCUGGUGAUGUCCAUGUGUAGAGUCUUCUCUUAUGUUGUUGGAAGAGGGUGUUUGCUAUGACCAGUGCAUUCUCUGGGCAAAACUCUAUUAGCCUUUGCCCUGCUUCAUUCUGUACUCCAAGGCCAAAUUUGCCUAUUGUUCCAGAUGUUUCUUGACUUCCUACUUUUGCAUUCCAGUCCCCUAUAAUGAAAAGAACAUCUUUUUGGGGUGUUAGUUCUAAAAGGUCUUGUAGGUCUUCAUAGAAUCAUUCAACUUCAGCUUCUUCAGUGUUACUGGUUGGGGCAUAGAUUUAGAUUACAGUAAUAUUGAAUGGUUUGCCUUGGAAAUGAACAGAGAUCAUUCUGUCUUUUUUGAGACUGUAUCCAAGUACUGCAUUUUGGACUCUUUUGUUGAUUAUGAUGGCUACUCCAUUUCUUCUGAGGGAUUCCUAUCUGCAGUAGUAGAUAUAAUGGUCAUCUGAGUUAAAUUCACCCAUUCCAGUCCAUUUCAGUUCGCUGAUUCCUAGAAUGUCGACAUUCACUCUUGCCAUCUCCUGUUUGACCACUUUCAAUUUGCCUUGAUUCAUGGACCUGACAUUUCAGGUUCCUAUGCAAUAUUGUUCUUUACAGAAUCAGACCUUGCUUCUAUCACCAGUCACAUCCACAACUGGGUAUUGUUUUUGCUUUGGCUCCAUCCCUUCAUUCUUUCUGGAGUUAUUUCUCCACUGAUCUCCAGUAGCAUAUUGGGCACCUACCAACCUGAGGAGUUCAUCUUUCAGCGUCCUAUCUUUUGUCUUUUCAUACUGUUCAUGGAGUUCUCACAAGAAAACUGGAGUGAUUUGACAUUCCCUCUUCUAGUGGGUGACGUUUUGUCAGAACUCUCCACUAUGAUCCAUCCAUCCUGUGUGGUCCUGCAUUUCAUGGCUCAGAGCUUCAUUGAGUUAUGCAAAUCCCUGUGCUACAACAAGGCUGUGAUCCAUGAGGGGAUCACACUUUAUAUAAUAACUUAUUAAUUACAAAAUAUCUUUGUUGAUUUUUGGAUAUUCUACACAAACAAUUCUGUCAUCUGUGAAUGUAAACAGUUUUAUUUUUUCCGUGUGAAUCUCUAUAUCUUUUAUUUCCUGUCUGUUUCAUUGCAUUAGCUACGAUUCCCAGUACAAUGUUGAAAAGUGGUGGUGACAGAAAGACUUUCUUGCCCUGUUACUGAUCUGACUAGGAAAGACUUGAGCUUAUCAUCAUUAACUAUAAUAUUAGAGUUUUAGAAUUUUUGUAAAUAUACUUUAUCAAUACAGAUAGUUUCCCUGUGUUCUAGUUUACUCAGAAUG
ensembl:lncRNA